UACGGAGGGUGCUAGCGUUAAUCGGAUUUAUUGGGCGUAAAGGGCGCGUAGGCGGAAAAAUUAGUCAGAUGUGAAAUCCUGGGGCUCAACUCCAGAACGGCAUUUGAAACUGUUUUUCUAGAGGGUAGGCGGAGAAAAUGGAAUUCCACAAGUAGCGGUGAAAUGCGUAGAUAUGUGGAAGAACACCAGUGGCGAAGGCGGUUUUCUAGCUUACUCCUGACGCUGAGGCGCGAAAGUUAGGGGAUCAAACAGG
rnacentral:rRNA from 1 species